GGUGCACCUGCACAAAUAAACACCAAAAUGAGUUAACAACGACUCACGAAUGCUUCCCAUGUGCAGUUUUUACUUCCCGGGGGCAAAGAACAAACAAGGUGGAAACCAUUUGCACAACCAUGGAUCAACAACCAAAAAUCUCAGACGUAUGAGAUAUAUAUUUUUACCAAGAGCAACAAACAUUAGGUGUAAGGUGAACCGAAGAAAAACUUACGGAUGUGAAGGAGGGAGUGUUGUGAUGCAA